AACAAACGCUGGCGGCGUGCCUAAUACAUGCAAGUCGAACGAGGUAGCAAUACCUAGUGGCGCACGGGUGAGUAACGCGUGGAUAAUCUGCCUUGGAGUGGGGGAUAACCAGUCGAAAGACUGGCUAAUCCGCAUAAGACCACAGGAGCUGCGGCUCUAGGGGUCAAAGGUUUUUCGUUCCAAGAUGAGUCCGCGUAAGAUUAGCUAGUUGGUGAGGUAAUGGCUCACCAAGGCGACGAUCUUUAACUGGUCUGAGAGGAUGAUCAGUCACACUGGAACUGAGACACGGUCCAGACUCCUACGGGAGGCAGCAGUAGGGAAUAUUGCACAAUGGAGGAAACUCUGAUGCAGCGACGCCGCGUGAGUGAUGAAGGCCUUCGGGUCGUAAAGCUCUGUCGCAGGGGAAUAACACAAUGAAUGUACCCUGCAAGAAAGGAUCGGCUAACUUCGUGCCAGCAGCCGCGGUAAGACGAGGGAUCCUAGCGUUGUUCGGAAUUAUUGGGCGUAAAGCGGGUGUAGGUGGCUAUGUAAGUCAAGUGUGAAAGCCUGGGGCUCAACCCCAGAAGUGCAUUUGAUACUGCGUAGCUUGAGUGCUAGAGAGGAUAGUAGAAUUGUUGGUGUAGUGGUGAAAUACGUAGAUAUCAACAGGAAUACCGGUGGCGAAGGCGGCUAUCUGGCUAAGCACUGACACUCAGACCCGAAAGCGUGUGGAUCAAACAGGAUUAGAUACCCUGGUAGUCCACUCCGUAAACGAUGGAUACUUGUUGUUGGAGGUAUUGACCCCUUCAGUGACGAAGCUAACGCGUUAAGUAUCCCGCCUGGGGAGUACGGUCGCAAGAUUAAAACUC
rnacentral:rRNA from 1 species